rnacentral:misc_RNA from 1 species
GAAUGUGCAGGCCAGAUGCAGCGCGUCGAUGUCGCCCAUCCAGGUGAAGGACAACUGGUAGUCGGUCCACUGUCCCUGCGUGAGGAUGGUGAUCUCGUCGUGACCCGAGCGUUCGAACGACCAGUCGUUGGAGGACGCGAUCUCCUCGACGACCGAAAGCGGGCUGCUUUGCGAAUCCGUUAUGAUGUCCAGAUGGGACAUGCUGCCUUCACCCUCUGCUUGGUGUGGGAUGUGAAACGCCUGAACGAAACGCAAAGAACGAGCGAGAACUGUCGCUGCAAGUUCUCCGUUUACGAUCAUGACGACCCGGCUUUCGGAUCGUGCGCCGCAACGGCA